GAUGAACGCUGGCGGCGUGCCUAAUACAUGCAAGUCGAGCGAACAGACGAGGGGCUUGCUCCUCUGACGUUAGCGGCGGACGGGUGUGUAACACGUGGAUAACCUACCUAUAAGACUGGUAUAACUUCGGGAAACCGGAGCUAACACCGGGUAAUAUAUGGAACCGCAUGGUUCAAUAGUGAAAGACGGUUUUGCUGUCACUUAUAGAUGGAUCCGCGCCGCUUUAGCUAGUUGGUAAGGUAACGGCUUACGAAGGCAACUAGGCGUAGCCGACCUGAGAGGGUGAUCGGCCACACUGGAACUGCGACACGGUCCAGACUCCUACGGGAGGCAGCAGUAGGGAAUCUUGCGCAAUGGGCGGAAGCUUGACGGAGCACCGACGCGUGAGUGAUGAAGGUCUUCGGAUCGUAAAACUCUGUUAUUAGGGAAGAACAAAUGUGUAAGGAACUAUGCACGUCGUGACGGUACCUAAUCAGAAAGCAACGGCUAACUACGUG
rnacentral:rRNA from 1 species